CAUCGAUGAAGAACGCCGCGAACGUGCGAAACGUAAUGUGAAUUGCAGAAUUCAGUGAAUCAUCGAAUCUUUGAACGCAUCUUGCGCUCCUUGGUAUUCCGAGGAGCAUGCCUGUUUGAGUGUCGUGAAAACCUCUCAAUUUCUUAUUUAUUUAUUUAUAUAAGAGAAUUGGAUUUGGAUGCUGCCGUGAUUAACUUACGGCUCGUUCGAAAUGCAUUAGCUGGUCCACUCGGUCUCUUAAUAGUGUGAUAAAAAUCUUAUUCUCUGUUAUGACGGAGUCGUGACUGCUUCCAAUGGUCCCUUACGGGGGGACAAAGCAUAUUACAAUGUCAAUUUGACCUCAAAUCAGGUAGGACUACCCGCUGAACUUAAGCAUAUCAAUAAGCGGAGGAAAAGAAACUAACAAGGAUUCCCCUAGUAACGGCGAGUGAAGCGGGAUGAGCUCAAAUUUAAAAUCUGGCGGCCCAAGGUCGUCCGAGUUGUAAUCUAGAGAAGCGUCUUCCGUGC
rnacentral:rRNA from 1 species